rnacentral:rRNA from 1 species
GUGGGGAAUAUUGCACAAUGGGGGAAACCCUGAUGCAGCAACGCCGCGUGAAGGAAGAAGUAUUUCGGUAUGUAAACUUCUAUCAGCAGGGAAGAAAAUGACGGUACCUGACUAAGAAGCCCCGGCUAACUACGUGCCAGCAGUCGCGGUAAUACGUAGGGGGCAAGCGUUAUCCGGAUUUACUGGGUGUAAAGGGAGCGUAGGUGGUAUGGCAAGUCAGAUGUGAAAGCCCGGGGCUCAACCCCGGGACUGCAUUUGAAACUGUCAGACUAGAGUGCAGGAGAGGUAAGUGGAAUUCCUAGUGUAGCGGUGAAAUGCGUAGAUAUUAGGAGGAACACCAGUGGCGAAGGCGGCUUACUGGACUGUAACUGACACUGAGGCUCGAAAGCGUGGGGAGCAAACAGGAUUAGAUACCCCGGUAGUCC